rnacentral:rRNA from 1 species
GACGAACGCUGGCGGCGUGCUUAACACAUGCAAGUCGUACGGUAAGGCCCUUUCGGGGGUACACGAGUGGCGAACGGGUGAGUAACACGUGAGUAACCUGCCCACAACUUUGGGAUAACGCUAGGAAACUGGUGCUAAUACUGGAUAUGUGCUCCUACUGCAUGGUGGGGGUUGGAAAGCUCCGGCGGUUGUGGAUGGACUCGCGGCCUAUCAGCUUGUUGGUGGGGUAGUGGCCUACCAAGGCGGCGACGGGUAGCCGGCCUGAGAGGGUGACCGGCCACAUUGGGACUGAGAUACGGCCCAGACUCCUACGGGAGGCAGCAGUGGGGAAUAUUGCACAAUGGGCGCAAGCCUGAUGCAGCAACGCCGCGUGCGGGAUGACGGCCUUCGGGUUGUAAACCGCUUUCAGCAGGGACGAAGCUUUUUGUGACGGUACCUGCAGAAGAAGCACCGGCUAACUACGUG